CGCCAUUUUACGACCUUUCCGGCUUUUAAUUGCACACAUGGAUUUCGUAUCUUGUCCAAUUAUGGAAGUCUGUUUUGAAAAGACAUCACAGUGGUAAACAGUGUAAAAUUAUAGAACUAAGCUGAACUUCUACGAUGAUGUAGCUUCACAAUUGAAGACAGGAAUUUAACAGUUAUGUUGUUCAAACUAUUUAUGCUGGUUCAUUUAUGUGUAUCAUUUCCGCUGAAAUGCCCUGAACCUGCGCAAUGGGCACUGCGUGCAAAUGGUCACUGUGCAGAUCCGUCAAAAUACUUUUGUCUAAGGAAUGAUCUUAUCAAGGGAUAUUCUGAAAACUGUACAAGAUCAGAUUUUCAACAACCAGGUAGAAAAGCAGUCCUUCGUGGAGGAAUAGAUGCAGAUGUUUGCUCUGUAGAAAGAUAUCAGCC